UCUAAUCUGCUCAAUGAAUAUUUAAAUGGCUGCAGGAUUUUUUUACUGUACUAAGGUAGCAUAAUAAUUAGCUUAUUAAUUGUAAGCUUGAAUGAAUGAUUGAAUAAAAAAUUAACUUUUUUAAUUAAAUUGAAAUAAUUUAAAUUUUAAAUAAAAAUGUUUAAAUGUUUUACAGGGACGAGAAGACCCUAUAGAUUUUAAUUAUUUUUUUCUAAUAAUAGUUUUAUUUUAUCUGAUUUUAGUUUGAAAAUAAUUUGAAUGGGAUAUUUUAACAAUAAGGAAUUUUUUAUAUUUUAACAAAAAUUUUUGAUUAAUUGAUUGGACUUGGAUUAUUCUAGAAUAAAAUACCUUAGGGAUAACAGCUUAAUAUAUUAUUUAAGAUCUGAUUUUUUAAUAUGUUUGAGACCUCGAUGUUGAAUUAAAAUUAAAUUUUGGUGUAGGGAUCAAAAAUUUUAGUCUGUUCGACUAUUAAAAUUUACAU
rnacentral:rRNA from 1 species